rnacentral:rRNA from 1 species
ACCGGCGCACGGGUGAGUAACACGUAUGCAACCUGCCUGUAAGCGGGGAAUAACCCGGAGAAAUCCGGACUAAUACCGCAUAAUAUCAAUUUACUGCAUGGCAGAUUGAUUAAACAUUUAUGGCUUACAGAUGGGCAUGCGUAUGAUUAGAUAGUUGGUGAGGUAACGGCUCACCAAGUCAACGAUCAUUAGGGGUUCUGAGAGGAAGGUCCCCCACACUGGUACUGAGACACGGACCAGACUCCUACGGGAGGCAGCAGUGAGGAGUAUUGGUCAAUGGGCGAGAGCCUGAACCAGCCAAGUCGCGUGAAGGAAGAAGGUUCUAUGGAUUGUAAACUUCUUUUGCAUGGGAAUAAAGUGAGCUACGUGUAGUUUAUUGUAUGUACCAUGCGAAUAAGGAUCGGCUAACUCCGUGCCAGCAGCCGCGGUAAUACGGAGGAUCCGAGCGUUAUCCGGAUUUAUUGGGUUUAAAGGGUGCGUAGGCGGGAAAUUAAGUCAGUGGUGAAGGUUUGCAGCUCAACUGUAAAAUUGCCAUUGAAACUGAUUUUCUUGAGUGUAAAUAAGGUAGGCGGAAUGUGUUGUGUAGCGGUGAAAUGCAUAGAUAUAACACAGAACCCCGAUUGCGAAGGCAGCUUACCGGGCUACAACUGACGCUGAGGCACGAAAGCGUGGGGAUCAAACAGGAUUAGAUACCCUGGUAGUCCACGCA